rnacentral:rRNA from 1 species
AUGAAGUUUCUUCGAACAGAUCUGAGUGAAAACUUGCUUUUGACUACUGCAAAGGCCGGCGGUGGCGAUGCUGUCUGUGUCGUUCCCUUCUUGAAGGCAUCACCGUGGAGAAGUUCAAGGUCACUCUCUGCUACCUCCGGGGGAAACCCUAGAUCAGUUGAUCGGAUGAUAGCGGCGCUCUGGUGUUGUUUCCCCCUUGGGGGCGUCAUUCAUGGAGGUACACACGGGCUCGGGGAACAGAGGACGAUUUCUUUGGUGGAGUGGUACUUCAUCUUAUACAUUGAUGGCGUCGGAUCUUGGCGGCGUGGCGUUGUGGAGAUCCGGAGUCCGAUGCGCGGAGAUGAACUCGCGCAGGGAGGUGGCCCUGUCUGGCGUCGUGAUGGCGUCGACGGCAGUUAG